CAAAAAUAGUUUUUUUGACAUCAUUUUAAUCAAAUUUGAUGUCAAAAUAGCUAUUUUUGCUACAUGGAUACAAAAUUACAUAUAAUCAUAUAUAGUUGUAUAUAGUCAUAUUUCAUAUACAUUUAUAUAUGUUGCCUUAUAGAUAUUUAUAUAUGGAUUUUUUCCCGAAUAGAUUAAACGGUUUGAGCUGAGCGUUGAUGAGUCAGUGAAGUCAGUCAGAACUUCUUUUUUAUAUAUAUAUAUAGAAUAAACUGUUCGGGAUAAUAUUCAUUACGGCGAUUCACAUCGUGACAUCUACAUGCUAGUUUAGUAAUAUCAUUUUCAGAGACUAACAAGGUGCCUCAGCUCGAUGGGUCUCGCACCUCUUUUCUUUGUCUUUUGUUCUCGUUAAUUUCUUUGUAUGUUAAACUUAUCCCGUCGAGACGCGCUUACAUUAUACCGUUUUGCAAUCUAUACAUAAAUCUUAUCGCCAUAUUGUUGUGUUUAUUCCUUUAAUUUACCUUCAUUUUCUCCACUGCGAUCGUCAUUAAGAUAAAUUAAUAUUUUAGUUAUCAACAUUUUAUAAAUCCUAAAUAUCAAUAUAACACAUGAAAAAUUCCCAUACUUUAACAUAACACAAUGUUACAGUUUCGAUCACCAGACCGCAAACUUUCAAGAAACAUUCUUUAUUAUUGAGUUCUACAUAUAGUUCCAGAUAUCUAUCUUCUCAUUAAUCCAGAUAUCCUACAGAUUCAAAGCAUCAGGAUAGCAGGACAGAAUUUUGUGAUCAUCAUAAGACUAUCGAAAGAAGCAGCAUACAGAAGUACAAAGAGUAUAAAGAGAAUUACACAGAAAAAGAUGCACAUAAAUACAAUACUAAUCGUUCGCGUUCUAAAGAACGGGACUCGCACAAGUCACAUUCCAGACCAUUAAAAGAAAAAUUUUAUACGAUAGAUAUUGUGACAGAUCGAGUGAACAUUCUCGUGAAAAAAAAUAGAGAUACAGAUAGAGAUAGUUUCGGGAGAAGGAAGAAAUGUAGUACUGCAUUAUAUCAAACGAUCAAUUCUUGUGCCUAUAUAUUAUAAUGUUCUUCCGAGAUCAAUUAUAAGCUCUAUGGUCCCUAUCUAUUCAUUUAGAGAGCAGAUUCUUCCUACGGGAAGAGGCUUACAUUUUGUCCCAAUAGCAUCAUUCCCUCCACGAUUUGUUCCUCCGAAUAUAUACAGAUUGAGACUUCGACCCCCAAACCCAAAUAAAUACAUAUAAUAUUAUAUAAGAUAUUGUAUAUGUGUUUUUUUAUAUAAUGUACUCUCAAUAUAUAUAAAAAUAAAAACGAUCCGUGAAAUGUAAA